CUCUGGGACUCGCCCCACGACCGCCGGAAGCAGGGGCGGGCAUUUCCGGAGGCGGGGUCCGGCAUUGGCGGGGUCGCGAUGUCGUGGCUGAGGGCGGCAUGCGCGAGACCCGGGCAGGACGGGAGCGCGGACGCGGACGUAUUCGACGACGAAGCGGACGAGACGCUGCCGGCGCAGCGGGAGUGGCGGAACCGCGUGGAGCGGCGCGUGCGGGAAGGUUACAGAGACGGGGUCGAUGCGGGGAAAGCAGCCGUCCUGCAGCAGGGCUUCAAUCAAGGUUAUAAGGAGGGCGCCAGAGUCAUCCUCCAAUAUGGGCAGCUCCGAGGAACCCUAAGUGCUCUGCUCUCCUGGUGUCACCUGCAGGAUAACGGUUCUCCUUGGAUCGCUCCCCUGAAUGACCUUCUGGACGCUGUGGGCCAGUCUGAAGAGUCUGUGCUCCAGCACCUGACCUCCAUCCCUCCACAGCCCCACGUGGGGGACUUGUUGGACUCCCUCCAGGACAUGGACCUUUGUCCCUCGGUCUCGGUCCAUGAAAAGAUCGAAGAGGAAAGACCCGGGAGGUGCUCUGCCGACCUCAACAAAAACUGCCACCCCAAGGCCGAUCAGCACAGUUGCCCCCAUUCUCCAGACUGCAGAACACAGAGGGGGACAUGUCCCCCAAAGCCUAACUUCUCUUGGAUUUUAGAACAAACUGCCAACAUAGUGCAACAGCUGGGCCUGUCCGUGGACAUCCUGCAGAACAUUGAGCAGCCAGGAAACUAGCUUCAUUUUUUUGUCACAAAUAAUAUUUUAAAAUCCAUUUUAUGGAAUCUAUUUUAUUUUAUCAGCAGUUGGACCAAAAAACUUAUUGAAUUUUACUUUAGUCUAUUCAGCUGUUACCAGUGCACUUGCAGACCAUAAACUGGAGUUGGCAGAAGCUUCUCUCUCUGUGUCCCAGCCCUUCGCACCUGCCCUUAACCCUGCACUGUGUCUGCUGUCUUGCUCAGGCAAGAAUGAGGCAGGAUUCUGAUGGCGGACCCACCGCGGCUUGUAGCUGAGUGAAACUGGGGAAGAUUGUUCUGAGAUUGUGUGUGACUGAGCCCUCUGUGGCCGGUGGUGGACGGGACCUGACCAGUCCCAAGGCCCAGCCCCAGUCAUCCUCCCCUUGUUCGUCCCGGCGGCCGCCCUGGGCUCCUCCCCAAGGGAGUCACCUCCCCAGCAGCAGCAGCCGGCGCCCUUCCCGGUCUCCCCGGGCCCAGAAUCCCGGGGCAGCAAUCGGGGGCCGUCGGUCCGCCCCAGGACUCAAGGCCUGGGAACCAGCAGCGGCCUCCUGGCGUCCUGGGACCCCGGCUGUGGAGGCUUCAGAGCGGGGCUCAGCCUGCUGGUGGUGACGGCCCCUGCCGGGCAAGCAGGAGACGGGCCGGGCCCCUCCUCGGUGCAGGCCCCCCGCCAUAAGGGCCCCUUGGGGGCGGGGCUGUUGUGUCCCCCACGGAGCGGCCGGCGCGCCCCCGGCCUCCAUAAGCGCUUGUUGGCUCUGCGAAUCACCUUCUGCAUCCGAGCCUCUCAGUGAAGUCCCCCGGGGAGCCGGGCUGGGGUUUCCGGAAUCGUUUCUUUGGAGCCUCCUCGGGCUGUUUGCUUGACAGUUUCUUGGAGGGGAGGCUCCCGCCGCAGAGGAGCCCCUGGUGGGGGGGCAGGCGUGGGAAAGGGGGGCAGGGCGUGGGAAAAGGGGGGCAGGGCGUGGGAAAGGGCCACGCGCUCCCGGGAGAGGAGGCGCCCAGGGAAAUGCCCUCGGCUCGUGCCAGGCAAAGGUCAGAAGCGCCGGGGUCCCGCCCCCAGCCUCCCAGCAGGGCCCGUCCCGCCCCCACCAGGUGGCGCCAAAGGACUGGGAGAGCCCUCCCCUCUAUUUCCCUAACCCCCCUCCCUGUGGCCGGCCCCUGAGCGCCAGCAUCAGCGUCACCUGGGCGACACGUUCCUUCCCUCCUCCUUUCUGUCUUCCCUUCCUCCCUCCCUCUCCUUUCUUCUUCUCUUCCUUCCUCCUUUCC